UUUCCGUUGGUGAACCAGCGGAGGGAUCAUUACAGGACUCGCAAGACUCCUACAACCCUGUGAACUUAACUAUAAGCACGUUGCUUCGGCGGGUGUCUCGGAGGGGGUUCUCCCUCCCCGAGACGCUAAACCCGCCGGCAGCCUACUAUACUCUGUCUCUUUGCGUUGGCAUCUCGAGUACAAUCAAACAAGUUAAAACUUUCAACAACGGAUCUCUUGGUUCUGGCAUCGAUGAAGACGCAGC
rnacentral:misc_RNA from 1 species